GGCUGCCCAAUGGCAACGGUUCACUCAGAAAAAUUGCCGAACUGCUGAGCGAGUCGCAAUAUAUUACCCGCUUCAAAUCUAUCAGCAAAUUGCUGGAAGUAGUCGUCUAUUGCCUGCCGAUACUCUUAAGGAAAACCAAUCGUGUGUAUCCUUGGACAAGGAUACCAGUUUAUUUUCCUACCUCCAACACGGGUUUAGCCUCGACGAUCAUAGAGCAUUGGACAAAUGUUUUAUGGCAUCACAGAAUAAUAAAAAAAAAAUGGAAUCCAAAAGAAACGUCAAGACUAACGGUACUGACCCUGAAGUCCAACGACACUCGAAAAAAAAAUCCACAGCGCCACGGUCUCCACAAGUGACAAUGAUGCAGGUCAUAGUUCCAUGACAGAGCAAGCGAUUGCAAAUGUCAGCACGGUACCUUUUUUCACCAUCGCAGAGGCUGUUCUUCAAUCUGCUUGUGUCCGAAAUGAAGAAAUCGUAACUCCUCUUAGUCAUGCACCAGCUGGGCCUAGCGAUAGCAUUGCCACAAAAUUCAUAAUGAUCGCUCCUUUCGUUUGGAUGCAAUAUAUUAUUCAAUUUUGCCAACUUUGGGGAAGAAGGGGGAAUGACGAAGAUACACACCCAACUUUUUGUACACCGUUCAGAUGAUUUGCUUCACUUAAACUAAUAAACAGCGUACUUUUCGUGAUCCUCUAUCACGAGGAAC